AUUGAACGCUGGCGGCAGGCCUAACACAUGCAAGUCGAACGGUAGCACAGAGAGCUUGCUCUCGGGUGACGAGUGGCCGACGGGUGAGUAAUGUCUGGGAAACUGCCCGAUGGAGGGGGAUAACUACUGGAAACGGUAGCUAAUACCGCAUAACGUCGCAAGACCAAAGUGGGGGACCUUCGGGCCUCACACCAUCGGAUGCGCCCAGAUGGGCUAAGCUAGUAGGUGGGGUAAUGGCCAACCUAGGCGACGAUCCCUAGCUGGACUGAGAGGAUGACCAGCCACACUGGAACUGAGACAAGGUCCAGGCUUCUACGGGAGGCAGCAGUGGGGAAUAUUGAACAAUGGGCGCAAGCCUGAUGCAGCCAUGCCGCGUGUAUGAAGAAGGACUUCGGGUUGUAAAGUACUUUCAGCGGGGAGGAAGGCGGUGAAGUUAAUAGCUUCACCGAUUGACGUUACCCGCAGAAGAAGCACCGGCUAACUCCGUGCCAGCCGCCGCAGUAA
rnacentral:rRNA from 1 species